rnacentral:tRNA from 1 species
GAUAGCUCAGUCAGUAGAGCAUAAGACUCUUAAUCUCAGGGUCGUGGGUCCAAGCCCAACAUCG